rnacentral:rRNA from 1 species
GACGAACCGUGCUAACGUUGUUCGGAAUCACUGGGCUUAAAGGGCGCGUAGGCGGGCACGUAAGUCAGGGGUGAAAGCCCACGGCUCAACCGUGGAAGGGCCUUUGAUACUGCGUGUCUGGAGGGAGGUAGGGGCGUGCGGAACUUCCGGUGGAGCGGUGAAAUGCGUAGAUAUCGGAAGGAACACCGGUGGCGAAAGCGGCGCGCUGGACCUCUUCUGACGCUGAGGCGCGAAAGCCAGGGGAGCAAACGAG